rnacentral:lncRNA from 10 species
CUUCUUGAUUUCUGCCUUAAUUUCAUUAUUUACUCAAAAGUCAUUCAGGAGCACGUUGUUUAAUUUCCAUGUAAUUGCAUGGUUUUGAGAGUUUUUUUAGUCUUCUAUUUUUAAUGCGCUGUGGUCUGAGAGUGUGUUUGGUAUAAUUUCAAUUAUAUGAUCAGCUUUAGAGUAUGUACCAUGUGGCAAUGAAAAAAAUGUAUAUUCUGUUGUUUUGUGGUGGAGAGUUCUGUAGAGGUCUAUUAUAUCUAUUUGGUGCAAUUUUGAGUUCAGAUCCUGAAUAUCUUCAUUAAUUUUCUUCCUCGGUU